GGAGGGGUUUGCGUCUGAUUAGCUGGUUGGAGGGGUAACGGCCCACCAAGGCGAUGAUCAGUAGCCGGUCUGAGAGGACGAACGGCCACAUUGGAACUGAGACACGGUCCAGACUCCUACGGGAGGCAGCAGUGGGGAAUCUUCCGCAAUGGGCGAAAGCCUGACGGAGCAACGCCGCGUGAGUGAAGA
rnacentral:rRNA from 1 species